AAGACUUCAGAUGCUCAGAGAAAGUACCUGAUGCUGAAAGACAGGAAAUUGAACAAUGUCACCCAAAUAUGCCUUGUGUCAUGCAUGCACUGUUACAGCUGUAAGCUUUGGAUGUGAAUCCUGCCAAAUUGUGGCAUGGCACUCAACCCCUCAAUAAGAAGUCAACAGUCAGUCCCAGUCAGCACUGUGAGAACUCCAGAAAACAUCUCAAACCUGGACCUUGCUCCAAGGAGCUGAUAAUGGUUUCUCUUCCAUUCUCCCAAACCAAGUAUCCACUUAAAAAGCUGGAAGUUUCUUCUUAGAAACUUCUUCGCUGUUGCAAGAAUCUUCAGAAGCCUGGAUUCUGAACAGUCUCGCCUAAAAAUUUCUAGAAUUAACUUCCUUUCUUCUAUGACUGUCGGCGUGCUCUAUCAAAGAAGCUUUUUAGGCCUUGCUGAUUGGCAUGAUAUUGAAGAACAGCCAGAUAUGGAGCAAAAUUCUCCUUGAAAUCUGGAAAAAUGUGGCAAGAAAAAGCAAGUAGCCUUCUCUGGCUAAGCCUGUAAGAGAAGAGGAAUAACCCUGACUUACAAGUAAGGAAACAGAUAAAAGAACCUACCCAAGGCAACACAGCCAACAGAUGAGUGGCCCAGCAUAUUCUGAACCCAGGUCUGUGUUCUCCCAAGACUUCACACUGCCUCCUUUAGAUAUCUGAAAAUCUGUUUAAAGAAACAAUCUAUGGCAUCACCAUUUGCACCAAAAUGAUAUCACACUCUCUGAAUUUUCUUAACAGAUACAUCUUUGGCCAGGAGAGAGUUCUAAUAUCAUUCAUUAGUGACCCUGCCAUUACAACAUGUGAAUUUUUGUUUUACCUUCUCAGUUUUAUUAAACUGAGAAAGACAGACCAAAAGACACUUUUUAUCAGUUUUUAUUUUAUUAUCAUUUUAUUACAAACCUGCAGUAAUGUUGAUUAUGUUUAUAAAUCUCUCAGUGAAAUUUUAAAACCAUUUUCCUUCUCUAAUCUCUCCCAUCCUGCCUUCUUAGAAGUACACAAAGCAUUUCAACCACUCCCAAAUUCCCUUUUGGAAUACCCUUAAUGAUUCUGAAAUAUUUUGUUAUUCCCCAAACACCGCCCUAAAGACAAAUCAUUGGACUCCAGGCUCUUCACAUUGCCAAGUUGAAUAGAGUUCAAAUGUUCUAUCUAACCGAACUCUGACUUACAACAAAGCCACAUAUAGUAGAUGAUGUGCAAGAUAUUCCGAAAAUACCAAGGCAACAUGGGGGGAAAAACUGUGUCAACAUGAAAUCUCCCCAAAUUUCUCUAUAAUCUGGAAUAAUCAUUUUUCUCAAGCUCCUGUAAACUGAUCAUGGCAUGGCUGUGGAUGGCCAUAUAAAUCAAUUUUCAUUUUGAUAACCUACAGCUUAAGUUUUCAAACAUCCAAAACAAUUAAUGUUGCCAAAUUUAAGAGUGCUUCUCUACUUUAGACAGUGGAGCAUGAACAAAGAACUAAGGAGAAAACAAACCAAGGAAAAUAAUUUUGACCUGAAUAACAUUUUUGAACAAUUGUAUAGAUCGUUUAAAACCCAAUCUUGCUUCUUGAAUUAAACAUUCUAUGCCCCAGAAUGAAUCUGCACACAGAACAAGGAAAAGGCAUUUUCCAAAAACAUGAAGGACCUAGUAGGAAUUCCUUUUUAUGUGGCUCAUUGAAGAGCAGCUUACAGAAUGACCAAAGUUGGCCUGGGGUGACUUUCACUUAGAAGCUUCACCAAAGAGUACACUUUCCCUGAACUAAGUUUUGACUCCAGAUCCAACUCGUGAGAGUUUUGCUAAACUUCAAUAAGAUCCCACCUCAAAGAUCUCUGGGGACAUUUAAAAUUAAGGUAAGUUCCCCUUAACAUUUCAGAAGCAUGUGAACAUAUAAACCAAUGGUGUAAGACCACAUUAAAAAUGAUUGAAUUUAAAACUUUUCAAACUAAAAAUACCUGGAAGACAAGAAUUCUUCCCCCACCCAAUGUUACAUCAGAAUAAUGCAUAAGAAGGAGAAAAUACUUAUCAGUACUUGCCUGAAUAAACUGAGAAAAGCCUCAUAAGAUCAAGGGAGCAGUUCUACCAAUUUCCCUGUAGCUCUGCAAUUUUCAAAGGUUUCAUAACACAAUAUAUCCCCAGUGGCUCUUUCGUUCACUGAUUAUAAAACCACAUAGCCAGAAAGGAAAGAAAUCCCAAAGCCCCAAAAAGCAGCUUGUCCUGUCCAUCAGUUCACAUUUAUAGAGUUUUGGAGCUAAAAGGGAUACUAGUCGUUGUCUUUGAAGUAUUUCAUUUUACAUAUGAGGAAACUCUCAGGUUAAGUGACGACCUUGAUCAUCCAGCUGAGAGAUGUCAAAGCCCUUCCUUUGUUAUUUCCAACUUCUCCUCGCAGUCGGCAGUCAACCUACACUACUCCCUGCAAAAUAAUUACUUAUAGACUUAAGGAUUUCAUCUUUAAACCCUGCUCCCUCCCACCCCAGGAAACUCACACAUGUCUUCCCCUGGGGUAUGGUCAUAGGAGUCACAAUUUUAAUAUAAUCUACUAAUGGCCAGGGAUUUUGUUCAGCUGAGAAGUAUGUAUCUACUGAUCUGCAGGGUAUUGAUUUGAGGGGGAAGGUCUUUUCAGCCCACAAGAAAAUUCAAAAUCCUUUAUUACUCUUAGAUUAUUUUAUGAAUAAUUCCAGGGGGAAAAAAACAUACGGUUGUUUCCUGUAAAUAUUGAGAUUGAAGCAAAAACCUUUGUAGUUGGCCACAAGGGGGCAGCUGCAACAUUUUUCUCCUAAAUGUUUGCAGUUCUAAACCACCAGGAGCAAUGGGGCAUUCUGGGUCUCAGCUUGCCACAGAAUCUCCAAAACCACCUUUCAACUGAGUUCUCAGUAUGACACAAAACAUUCUCAUACGGUGUUUCUUGGGACUUGUUUUGUUUUUAAACAAAUUAUUUCCCAACUCCUUUCCAGAUCAAGAGAGAACCCUCUGUUUUAGAACUCUGUGCCAAGAUGACCAUCUCUACAAAGAUCUUUGGAGACUAAUAAAUUGUUACGCUAAUUUGGAAACCCUCAGAAAAUGUUUUAAUUAUGUUUGACCCCAGAUAAAAAUAAAAACAGUAAUGAUCAUCUGA